rnacentral:tRNA from 1 species
GCCCCGUUAGGUUAACGGCAGACCGCCGGGUUCUCAGCCCGGGAGCAGGAGUUCAACUCUCCUACGGGGUA